rnacentral:rRNA from 1 species
CCCUUAGAUGUUCUGGGCUGCACGCGCGCUACACUGAAGCGUUCAACGAGUAUUCACCUUGCCCGGGAGGGUUGGGUAAUCUUUUGAAAACGCUUCGUGAUGGGGAUAGAUUAUUGCAAUUAUUAAUCUUCAACGAGGAAUUCCUAGUAAGCGCAAGUCAUCAACUUGCAUUGAUUACGUCCCUGCCCUUUGUACACACCGCCCGUCGCACCUACCGAUUGAAUGGUCCGGUGAAGCCUCCGGAUUGGCGCGCACCUCGGUGCCGCCGAGAAGUUGGCUAAACCUUACCAUUUAGAGGAAGGUGAAGUCGUAACA